UACGGGGGGGCAAGCGUUGUUCGGAAUUACUGGGCGUAAAGGGCUCGUAGGCGGCCAACUAAGUCGGAUGUGAAAUCCCCAGGCUUAACCUGGGAAUUGCAUCCGAUACUGGAUGGCUUGAAUCCGGGAGAGGGAUGCGGAAUUCCAGGUGUAGCGGUGAAAUGCGUAGAUAUCUGGAGGAACACCGGUGGCGAAGGCGGCAUCCUGGACCGGCAUUGACGCUGAGGAGCGAAAGCCAGGGAGCAAACGGG
rnacentral:rRNA from 1 species